rnacentral:tRNA from 1 species
UGGCUCAGUUGGUAGAGCAUGGCGCUUGCAACGCCAGAGUUGUGGGUUUGAUUCCCAC